AUGUUUCCUGUCCCCCAUAUGUGAUGUCGGGGGGUUCCCCCCUAAUGAUUGCAGCUGUUAUAUAGGAGACAUUGUACAGGUGACAUCUCAGUAGUCUGUGUGUGUCAGUGCAGAGACAUCAAGAUGGCUUCUCAGGGGGUUCUGCUGCCUCUCAUACUGCUUUAUAUUCAGGGGAGUUGGGCAGAUAUUACACUGACACAAUCUCCAAAUUAUUUAAGUGCAAAUCCAGGAGACACAGUCACCGUGUCAUGUAAAUCCAGUACUGGUAUCGGCAAUGACUUACACUGGUACCAACAGAAACCAGGACAACGUCCAACACUGAUCAUCUAUUAUGCAACCAAUCUGCAGUCUGGAGCCCCGGCCAGGUUCAGCGGAUCUGGAUAUGGAACAGAUUUCACUCUUAAGAUCAGCAACAUAAAGGAAGAAGAUGAAGCAAUUUAUAUCUGUCAGCAGAGUUAUAGUACACCUCUCACACAGUGAUACAGAGCCGUACAA